AUUAGUUAUUAAAUAUUAGUGUCAAAAAGAUAAGUUUCAUCUUCUAAGUGUUUUUAACUUUUUGAGGUUAUGACUUGGUUACUUACAGUUAUUAUGAAAUGGAUAGGAUUAAUAUUUUUAGUCUGUAACUUUCAGAUACUUUUAGUAAAAAAGUUUUAAUUUGUCUCAUUUUACUACAUCUAAUGUCUGCUAAACAUUUUCAUGGAAUCAUUUCAUAGUUAUAUAGUUAUAAAUUUACUGUUAUAGAUGUUAAUUUAAGAUAAUAUUAUUUUGCAUGUCUUUUGAACACUUCAGAAAGAGAUUGUUACAUUUUAGCAGGCAUAUGUUUAGAUUUAGAGAUAAGUAC
rnacentral:lncRNA from 1 species